ensembl:snoRNA
CUCCUUUUGCAGUUUAUAAGUAUGAUGAUUGGGUUUUCAUGCCAAUGCGUGAGAUGUGUGUCCCUCAAAUCUUUUUAUGAAGUAGAUGCAUUAUCUGAUAUGAAA